AUUGAACGCUGGCGGCAGGCUUAACACAUGCAAGUCGAACGAGUGGCGGACGGGUGAGUAAUGCUUGGGAAUCUCGCUUAUGGAGGGGGAUAACUACGGGAAACUGUAGCUAAUACCGUGUAACAUCGGAUGAGCCCAAGUGGGAUUAGGUAGUUGGUGAGGUAAAGGCUCACCAAGCAGACGAUCUCUAGCUGGUCUGAGAGGAUGACCAGACACACUGGGACUGAGACACGGCCCAGACUCCUACGGGAGGCAGCAGUGGGGAAGAUUGCGCAAUGGGGGCAACCUGACGCAGCCAUGCCGCGUGAAUGAAGAAGGCCUUCGGGUUGUAAAGUUCUUUCAGUAGCGAGGCGUUAACGACAGAAGAAGCACCGGCUAACUCCGUGCCAGCAGCCGCGGUAAUUC
rnacentral:rRNA from 1 species